UACGUAGGUGGCAAGCGUUGUCCGGAAUUAUUGGGCGUAAAGCGCGCGCAGGCGGUUCUUUAAGUCUGAUGUGAAAGCCCACGGCUCAACCCGUGGAGGUCAUUGGAAACUGGAGAACUUGAGUACAGAAGAGGAAAGCGGAAUUCCACGUGUAGCGGUGAAAUGCGUAGAGAUGUGGAGGAACACCAGUGGCGAAGGCGGCUUCUGGUCGUGAUAACUGACGCUG
rnacentral:rRNA from 1 species